UUUUCCAAGUGCUUAGCUUACUGGUCCAGUAAGCUGUGAAAAGGGAUGUGUUCAUUAAGCAUAUCCCUUCUUGUGGUUAGAAGUAAAGGAGUCAAAGAUGCCAGAACUGCAGAAGCAAACAAAUGCCCAUGUUACUGUUCAACGCUCACCAGACCGUGUCAUGAGUGAAAAAUCAACACUGCUAUUUGGGAGUUGUCUCUACUGUAGCUACUGUUAUUUGACCUGACAUAGAAAUUAGUUCUUUGAGGUGGGAUGCUCCUGUAACAAAUCUUAAAAUAAUUGUGGCAUUGGCUCAUGUGUCUGGAGGUGGUUGGAAAGGAAUCUGAUAUUGGAAGCCGUAAAUGUGGUGCUACAUGUUAUUCAAAGGCAAAAUGUUUGAUGUAAUGGUUGUCCAUGGUAUCUUUAGAGGCAAAGCAAUGGUUGCUCACUUGCUGAUUUGCCCAGGGUAUUUCAGGAGAUGUAUGUUCAGGAAAAUCUUUCUGGUUGACAGGCCAGAAAUGUAAAGAAUGAAAAGAAAAAUAAUACA